AGACAGGUCCUGUUCUCGUGAGUUUCGUUUCUGAAAUGCAGGCCCAUUAACACCUGAUUUUCCUCAAAAUUAAUGACCAAGGCCGGUGCUACUUGAAACAUGUUCCAUAGACCUGCAGCAUCAGCAUCACCUGAGAGCUAGUCAGAGAUGGGAAUUUUGGGAAAUUCCAACACUGAGUCAGAAUGUCUGGGAGCAGAGCCUAGGAAUCUGUGUUUUGAAAAGCAGGAAUUUGAGAAGCACUGGUCUGGCCUGCCGUGCUUUCAUCUUCAUCUAUCUCUAUCAUUCCACAUAAGAAGAAACAUCUAGCAAUACUACUGACUGAACAAACAUCGUGAAACUGAAGAAGGAAAAGAGUCUUCUGCCACUUGCUCCCGUUCUCAGUUGCACGAGCCUAGUUAACCAACCUAGCUUCUAGCUCCAAUCCCCUCCCUCAGGGGUGCCGUCAUGACCCUCAGCUGGGCUUUGCCUUGUGGCCAGUACCAAGAUGGAGUCCUGGAGAUCAGAAUGGUUACACAAAGCCACCCGAAUGGGAGGAGUUGUCAGUUUAAGUCUACAGAGAGCAAAGGUCCCAACAGGGAAGAUAAACUUGGCCAUAAAGCCGAGGGGGUAAACUCAGAAUCAAAACGAAACCCCAGCCCUACAAGGAUGGUGAGCUAGACAGAUCCCUGAAUAAGAACAAUGGAAGGACGAUGGAAAGGGCUGGAAGACAAAUCACGGCAGUGUCCUGCAUAAGGUAGUUUGCCUUAUUUAAAAGCCUCUGCUCAAUGGAGUCUUAGAUUUCAUUCAUAAAAUGAGAGUAGUAAUCUCUACCUAUCUCAUAAAGUUGUUGUGAAAACCAAUUAAAUAAUUUGAAAAUGAAAUGAAAUAAAUGAAUAAUUUGAAAUGAAAAUCAAAUAAAAUAAUAAUUUGAAUAAGUGAACAUGAUUUGCACACUGCAGAUAUGUGUGCAAAUACAAGGGACCACCACUACUACUGUGUUCACACCUUCUUCCCAGCACUGAGUGGGGGGUCUUGGAGUCAGGGGCGUGCACCAGAAGUGAUCCCGUGAAUGCAAAUAUUGUAAUUCUCUAUUUAUUUAUCUGCCUCCCUAACCAGACUGUGAUUUCCUUGAAAGCAGGGACUGUGUCUUAGUCAUCACUGCAUCUCCAUUUACAUAGUAAGACAUUCAAUCACUGUUUAUGGAAUGUUGAAUGAAUAAAUUCUGAAUGCUCACUGUUAUACAGCCUCGUGGCUGGCCAUGAAUUAUGCACAGUGGAACACUAUGUGGCGUCAUGUGAGAAAUGAAACAGCAAAUGCCCAUGUGCCCAGGAAUAGUUCCUCAUCUGCCAAAAAUGGCCACUACCUCACUGCCGGAGCACUGGCUCCUCCGGAUAACGAGCCUAAAUUCUCAGAAUUAGAAGCAUUCCUUGAAGUCAGUCAACAAAGGAAGCAUUGACAAUUAAAUGCCUUGGGACAUAACAGCUAAACUUUGUUUCCUUAUUACGUAUAAGCCAGAAGAAGCUUCACAUCAUUAUCUUAUUUAAAACUCACAAUGACAACAUAAGGGAAGUUUUGUUAUUGUCCACAUUUUACAGAUGAAGAAGUUGAACCUCUGAGAGCAGUUAAGCGACCUAACCAAGCUAUAUGUAGGCUAGCCAAAACUUGAACUCUAGGUCUGUUUUAUUCCAAAGCCUAUAUUCUGAAGCAAU
ensembl:lncRNA